rnacentral:rRNA from 1 species
AGUGAACGCUGGCGGUAUGCCUAACACAUGCAAGUCGAACGGCAGCACAGUGAGAGCUUGCUCUUACGGGUGGCGAGUGGCGGACGGGUGAGGAAUACAUCGGAAUCUACUUUUUCGUGGGUGCUAACGUAGGGAAACGUACUCUAAUACCGCAUACGACCUACGGGUGAAAGCAGGGGAUCUUCGGACCUUGCGCGAUUGAAUGAGCCUAUGUCGGAUUAGCUAGUUGGCGGGGUAAAGGCCCACCAAGGCGACGAUCCGUAGCUGGUCUGAGAGGAUGAUAAGCCAAACUGGACAUGAGACACGGUCCAGAAUACUACGGGAGGCAGCAGUGGGGAAUAUUGGCCAAUGGGAGCAAGCCUGAUCCAGGCACACCGCGUGGGUGAAGAAGGCCGUCGGGUUGUAAAGGCCUUUUGUUGGGAAAGAAAAGCAGCAGGUUAAUACCCCGCUGUUCUGACGGUACCCAAAGAAUAAGCACCGGCUAACUUCGUGC